AUGGUUGGCUGUGCAGCGUUUGGAUGCUCCAAUCGGUCCGAGAAGGGUGACUUUUCAAUGAUAUUUGAAGUGCAAUGGAAACUGAUCUUACAAGCCUACCUACAGGUACACUUUGACCUAAUUCACUGCCACAAAAGAGAAGGGAUGUUGAAGCUGAGGCCCGAUGCAGUACCAACAGUUUUCAUUCAUCGCCCUAAGCCGAAGAGGAGAAAACCCCCUUCUGUGAGGGUCCCUCCAGAACCAAGUGCAACGGACCACACAUAUUUCACCAAAUUGAACUUCGUUGCCUUAUUAGGUCCUCCACAGUCGCCCCAUCAGUCCCUGGCAGUCUGGUCCCUGGAGCAGUCUGGUCCCUGGAGCAGCUGCCCCUGAAUCACCUGGCCCUGGCAAAGUGGCCUCUUGAUUGCUCUCUGUGUCUCCUGUCAUGUCCUUUUCAUCGCUCUUGAAAUCCACCUAAAUUUCUCCCUCAAUCUCUGUAAUAAUUACAAGGUAAUGUUGCUGUUAUAUGUAUUUUGCCUUUGCAUUUGCAACUACUGUCAUCUCCAAUGUAAGAAAAUGAAUUAAAGCAAAACAUUUCUGUAAUGUGAAUUAAAUCAUCUGCCACAAUCAGAAACCAAUACAAUGUAUAAAUGGAUCUACCAGCAAUUGUUAAUUGGGUAGAAAUGUGUCGAUUAUCUACAUUGUGUGCAAAUCCUCAGAGAAUCCCUGACCUCUGGUUGUUUUUUAAACUGAAUGUACAAACAUUAAUUAUGUAAUCUCAUUAGGAGUGUAGUCUAUCCUUGAAUUGCAUGAAAUGGGGAAUAUUGUUAGCUGCAUGGAUCAUACCGAAGUUUAAUUUGGUGAAAUAUGUGUGGUCCGUUGCACUUGGUUCUGGAGGAACCCUCACAGAAGGGGGUUUCCUCCUCUUCGGCUUAGGGCGACGAAUGAAAACUGUUGGUACUGCAUCGGGCCUCAGCUUCAACAUCCCUUCUCUUUUUGUGGCAGUGAAUUGGUCAUCUUCAAAGUGUACCUUUUUAUAGGUAGGCUUGUAAGAUCAGUUUCCAUUGCACUUCAAACAUCCCUAAAUGCCCUUUGAAAUGCUAUCAAGUGAUGUGAACAUUACUUACAUUACAUCGUUUUUGACGGUUGCUGACCCCUGUCACUUGUACGUUUUGACGGCUGACCAUUGUCAUCCAUUUCUUCCUGCGCUCUUGGUCCUUGGGGAAGCCAUACAUGUGGUAACCCUUCUCGGACCGAUUUGAGCAUCCAAACGCUGCCAAGCCAACCAUGGUAUGACCAUUGAUCUAAACCAAUUUUGAAUUUGCUCAGGGCUAUUAUAGGUAUUGUAAUGGCAUAAAGUAUAGUAUAUUUGCAACGUUAUAUGUUAAUGGUUUGCCCUAAGUAUAUUAUAUAGUGUUCCCUGCUGUGUCCAUUGUUGAAUCUGUUCACACAAUCACACUCACUUGUUCUUGUCACACUAAUUGUUUAUUAAAAACUAUUUCAUUCAUCCAAGCGUAAUGAGUUGUUAUUCUUAAAUAUAUUUGAUACUUUGUGUGGCUCAUAUCUUAAAACGAUCAUGGUAAAACAUCUUGAUUACUUUGAUUCCAAUACAGAUGUAGGGUAAAAGUUAAGGUCAAGCCAGUAUGCUAACACGAACGUGAAGCUUUCCCUCAAACUUAAAAACUUUAAGUAAUACUAGUAAUAGCAAUACUUAGAGAUAGCUUUCAGUUGUCCCCCUACCACUCUAAAUGUAAAACUGACAUUAACAAAUAUGCAAUAAUGCCAUAACAGUCAGACAAAUACUAUGUGUUUUUUUCAUUCAUAUUAUCCAUUCAAUAUUGAAAUCUCUGCUGUCGUCCCAUAGAAUAACAUUGACUGCGCGGCGUGUUUGGAACUAUUGAGGCUUACAUGAACCACGUGACAACGACGUGACCACCCUGUUGGAGAGAUCAUAGCGUGUCGCAACUCUCUCUCUCUAUAGCCAGAGAAUGUCUAAUAUGAGGAGAAUGGGCACUCGCUGGUUAGUUCCGGUUUUCUGGAAUGGUUGCAGUAAUAAUCUCUGUCCACGCGGGGCGCUCGUAGGCGAGUCCAGAAUGAAUGGGGGCCUAUGGGGUUUUAUCCUCAGAAUCCACUUUUCUCACAAUGUAAUUUUUUGUCAAGUAAUUUGAAAGUUGCGUUCAAAAGGUGGGGCUAAAAUAAUAAACUCAGCUGAAUAUUGCAUUUUUUAAGGUCACGUAUCUGUUCUAAAAAGGUGUUAAAAAAAUACGAUGACGUCACACAUUGUCAUACUGUCAGAGGUACUGCUUUACGGCAGUUUCUGAAGCACUUCCCGCAACGAUAAUACCAGCUGUUGGAGGUAAGGCUUUUUCUUGCUUACUAGUUACACAGUUUUAGUGAGCUAAUGUAAAAAAAAAGAAAUGCGCGAAUGUUUUACAUAUGAAUGUAAUUUACAGUGUUUUUUUUUAAUCCUCACUAGUGCCGAUGAUAAAGCUUUUUUUUUAGUAACGAUUAUGAGCCAUUUCUUUCUCCUGAAAUAGAAACCUGGAUUAGAAUCAUAAUUUUAAGACUGCAUCAACUAAGUUUACAUCAGUAAACAAUUUCCUAGAGAGCAGUGUUCUGUUGUACUCCUCCUCAUGCCUCUUGAUCUCUACAGUUGGACAUUGAUGCUGUGACAAUGGACAAGUCUUCUUCCUCUGUCCUUUUUCCCUGCCUCUGUUCUGUAUGUUCAGUGUUGUUAAAUCAUUUAUCUUUUUUUUUUUAUUAUUUAUUAUUAGUUACUGUUCUUAUUGUGUUCUUGUUAUUGUGAUGUUUUAAUAAACUUGCCUGUUGCAAUGUUGGUAUAAUUACUGUUAUACAACUGUUACUGUUUCAAUGUGACCCAGACCAUAUUUCUCAUUUAACAAACAUGCGUAGCUUAUAAUGUGUUGCAGGGCAGAGCAAUUAUAUUCAAUGGAUUAAUACAAACCCAUCUGUAAAGAUCAGUGAAUGCAUAGCAAUCAAUGACCAGUGGUGCAGAUGGUUUUCGCUCUGUGCAAGGUCUUUAGCCCAAGUAAGUCCUACAAAAAAAAUAACUACAGUAAUAGCAGAUGUUGAAGUUGU
ensembl:lncRNA